GGAUUGCAGGCUGCAACCCGCCUGCAUGAAGUCGGAAUCGCUAGUAAUCGCAAGUCAGCAUAUUGCGGUGAAUACGUUCCCGGGUCCUUGUACACACCGCCCGUCACACCAUGGGAGUUGGCAACACCCGAAGUCGAUGAGCUAACCUUUUAGGAGGGAGCUGCCGAAGGUGGGACCGAUAACUGGGGUGAAGUCGUAACAAGGUAGC
rnacentral:rRNA from 1 species